UGGGGAAUUUUGGACAAUGGGCGAAAGCCUGAUCCAGCAAUGCCGCGUGUGUGAAGAAGGCCUUCGGGUUGUAAAGCACUUUUGUCCGGAAAGAAAUCCUUGGCUCCAAUACAGUCGGGGGAUGACGGUACCGGAAGAAUAAGCACCGGCUAACUACGUGCCAGCAGCCGCGGUAAUACGUAGGGUGCAAGCGUUAAUCGGAAUUACUGGGCGUAAAGCGUGCGCAGGCGGUUUGCUAAGACCGAUGUGAAAUCCCCGGGCUCAACCUGGGAACUGCAUUGGUGACUGGGCAGGCUAGAGUAUGGCAGAGGGGGGUAGAAUUCCACGUGUAGCAGUGAAAUGCGUAGAGAUGUGGAGGAAUACCGAUGGCGAAGGCAGCCCCCUGGGCCAAUACUGACGCUCAUGCACGAAAGCGUGGGGAGCAAACAGGAUUAGAUACCCUGGUAGUCCACGCCCUAAACGAUGUCCAACUAGUUGUUGGGGAUUCAUUUCCUUAGUAACGUAGCUAACGCGUGAAGUUGACCGCCUGGGGAGUACGGUCGCAAGAUUAAAACUCAAAGGAAUUGACGGGGUCAUAGCUGUUUCC
rnacentral:rRNA from 1 species